rnacentral:lncRNA from 1 species
AAUCACAGCCUGUGUGGGUAAAGGGAAAGCCUUGCCUGGCCAACCCCUCCCACUCCCACCCCCACCUCCUGCAUUGAUUCACAAACCUGGACUGCUCUGGAGGAGGCUGGGAAAGUCCAUCCCCAGGGAAUACCACUUUUUUCCUCUUCUGUGCCUCUCACAGGACACCCACAUGACUAGGAGGAGGCAGAAAGUGAAUAGGGAGCUCUUAUUACUUUUUGAGUGUCAGCAAGUUAAGACAUCAUCUCCAGAAAACUGUGCUAGUUGGCAUCCAGCAGUGCCCAAGUAUUAUUUAACCCACUAGAACCUGUGACUGCAUCAGCUUUAUAUCCUGGACCUCAGCCUGGAACAAAGGAGAGCUACACUUGGAUACUAAACACAAGUGGUCUGGAUAGAUUAUGCUGGGAAAAGAAGCCUGGAGCAGGCAGUACAGUGGGAGAACAAGACAGAAGUGCUUGCCUUGGUGAUCCAAAAAAGGCAGGAUCCGGCCGGGGGCAAGGUGAUUAUUCUGUCUGAUGAGGAGAAUAAGAGCCAGUUUGUGGUAUUGACAGAAGAAUGAAAGUAAAGUCUUGAAAGAUGGGAAGAUCAGGAGCAGUCUGGAGUCAUGGUAUAUGAAUGAACUAGUGAGAGUGGGCACAAAGUCUGAAGAUCUUUGUAGUGCAGCUAAUGUCUAAGGGAGAAUAUACCUACCCUAGAAGAGACAUUAAACAACCAGGUUGUCUCUUCAUUCUGUUGAUUGUUUCCUUUGUUGUAAAAGAAACUCACUUUACAGGAAAAGAGGUGCAACAGUGGCUGGAUGAUUAUAAGAUCGACUGUUCCUAUUAAAAACUACACCAUCCAAAAGAGGCUGCCAUUGAAGAGCAAUAAAGUAGUUCAUAGAAGGCAUAGUUCAACCAAUCUACAAAGGCCAAAAAUAUUUUCACAGGCCCCCAAAAGAUGAACUCCAAUCUGCUGCCCCUAAACGCAUUCUCCACUGUCUGGAAGAUGUGCAAAGGCAACGGCACAGCGUUCUCCAUCUCAAAUCCUUCAAAGUGCUGUCAGAAUAAAAGAAUCCCCACCAAAA